GCUGGGCAUGGUGGCGCAUGCCUGUAAUCCCAGCUACUCAGGAGGCUGAGGCGGGAGAAUUGCUUGAACCCAGGAGGCGGAGGUUGCGGUGAGCCGAGAUCGCGCCAUUGCACUCCAGCCUGGGUAACAAGAGCGAAACUCCGUCUCAA
ensembl:misc_RNA Metazoa_SRP Metazoan signal recognition particle RNA